UUAAGGCAACAGACUAAGAAGGGAGUUACAGUGUUGGCUAAGGUGACUGACUCAGACUAUCAAGAUGAAAUCAGUCGACUACUCCACGAUGCAGCUGGGUCAGAGGUUCAUUGUGAUGACUCAGGCUACGCAAGGGCCGUGGAAUGGACGUGCAGCUGUACUUCUAAAUUCCAAUGGGACAUCAGACUGGGGAGGAUUAUGACCGGGAAAUUCAUACCCAACUGGAGCCAAGACUCUAGGCACUGAUGCCAGACAAAGAACUCGUGGUGGAAUCUUGACUUUUCAAUUCAUUUCAUCUAUAAAUUCUAUUUAACUUAA
rnacentral:lncRNA from 1 species